rnacentral:rRNA from 1 species
AGUGAACGCUGGCGGCGUGCCUAAUACAUGCAAGUCGAACGAUGAAGUCCUAGCUUGCUCGGAUGGAUUAGUGGCGCACGGGUGAGUAAUAUAUAGUUAAUCUGCCCUACACAGAGGAACAACAGUUGGAAACGGCUGCUAAUACCUCAUACUCCUAUUUGACAUAAGUUAAAUAGGGAAAGUCUUUUCGGUGUAGGAUGAGACUAUAUCGUAUCAGCUAGUUGGUAAGGUAAUGGCUUACCAAGGCUAUGACGCGUAACUGGUCUGAGAGGAUGAUCAGUCACAUUGGAACUGAGACACGGUCCAAACUCCUACGGGAGGCAGCAGUAAGGAAUAUUGCGCAAUGGGGGAAACCCUGACGCAGCAACGCCGCGUGGAGGAUGACACUUUUCGGAGCGUAAACUCCUUUUAUCAGGAAAGAAUAAUGACGGUACCUGAUGAAUAAGCACCGGCUAACUCCGUG